UGGGGAAUAUUGCGCAAUGGGGGAAACCCUGACGCAGCGACGCCGCGUGAGUGAUGAAGGCUUUCGGGUCGUAAAGCUCUGUCAGAUGGGAAGAAUAAGAGCAGGGAAAACAUCUCUGUUCGAUGACUGUACCAUCAGAGGAAGCACCGGCUAACUCCGUGCCAGCAGCCGCGGUAAUACGGAGGGUGCAAGCGUUGUUCGGAAUUACUGGGCGUAAAGCGCAUGUAGGCGGGUAUGUAGGUCAGAUGUGAAAGCCCUUGGCUCAACUAAGGAAGUGCAUCUGAAACCAUAUAUCUUGAGUACGUCAGAGGAGAGUGGAAUUCCCAGUGUAGAGGUGAAAUUCAUAGAUAUUGGGAAGAACACCAGUGGCGAAGGCGGCUCUCUGGGACGAUACUGACGCUGAGACGCGAAAGCGUGGGGAGCAAACAGG
rnacentral:rRNA from 1 species